GCACACCACAAUGCCCAGGGGUGUGGGGCGGCCAAUUACUCACUCAAACUGGAGUUCUGCUUAGAAUGGGACAGCAAGGCCAGGGGCCAGGAAGGCCUCUGUGAUAUCUUCCUCUUUCCCUGCCCAUGGCCUUCUUCCUUUCUCUUGUAUUUCUCUCCCUGUAGCAAGACAUGGUGCUCUGCCAAGGCCGUGCCCUUGGGAACUUCUCCCUCAAUGCUGCCAUUGAGGACCACGUUGAGGUGAGCCAGUCCCUGUGCAGGUAGCAGAACUUCCUAAGUCCCAACAAGACCUUGGAAGACACUGCUGAACAACAAGAAAAGAACAAAAAUAUUUUAAAAAUUGAAUAAACCAAAUUUACUUUGUC